GAUGAAGAACGUAGCGAAAUGCGAUAAUUAAUGUGAAUUGCAGAAUUCCGUGAAUCAUCGAGUCUUUGAACGCACAUUGCGCCUCAUGGCAUUCCGUGAGGCAUGCCCAUCUCAGCGUUAGAAAAUAUUCUCAAAUUUUAGUUUUGUGCUAAAAUUUGGAUCAUGUCAAGGAAGCUAUUACUAUUAUUGUGAUCGCUCUUUGGAAAUUGAUAGGUCUUUGAGUUGCUACUCAUAGAACGUGAUGAAUCUUUCUUCGUUCUAUUGUAAUUCACUCUGGUAGUCCUAAAACUUGUAUGCCGUGGCAUAUCUUGUAAUUUGACCUGAGAUUGGGUAGGGAUACCCGCUGAACUUAAGCAUAUCAAUAAGGGAGGA
rnacentral:misc_RNA from 1 species